rnacentral:ncRNA from 1 species
AUUGUGAUAUUUCUUAGGCUUUCCCUCUACGUCCAACAGCACUCGUACAAGGAUGUACGAGUGAGCGAAUACGAAACACGGAUGUUUCGUCUGAGCGGCUGUGUCCCUAUCAACAACCUUCACGGAAAGUCUUAGAAAUAUCCAAUCUG